GCCGGCCCCGCUGCUCCGCGCUCGCUCCCCGGCGCCAUGGCGCGCUCUGAGGAGGUGCAUCGCCUCACCGAGACCGUCUACAAGACAAUCAUGGAACAGUUCAAUCCCAGCCUCAGGAACUUCAUUUCCAUGGGGAAGAACUAUGAAAAAGCCUUGGCAAGUGUAACGUAUGCUGCAAAAGGCUAUUUUGAUGCUCUGGUUAAAAUGGGGGAGUUGGCCAGUGAAAGCCAAGGAUCUAAAGAACUGGGGGAUGUUCUCUUCCAGAUGGCAGAAGUUCACAGACAGAUUCAAAAUCAGUUGGAAGAGAUGCUGAAGUCUUUUCACAAUGAGCUACUGACACAACUGGAGCAGAAAGUAGAACUGGAUUCCAGGUAUCUAAGUGCUGCAUUGAAGAAAUACCAGACUGAGCAAAGGAGCAAAGGGGACGCGCUAGAGAAGUGCCAGGCAGAGCUGAAAAAACUUCGGAAGAAGAGCCAAGGGAGCAAAAACCCUCAGAAGUACUCGGACAAGGAGCUGCAGUACAUUGAUGCUAUCAGCAACAAACAAGGUGAGCUAGAAAACCACGUCUCUGAUGGCUAUAAGACAGCGCUCACAGAGGAGAGGAGACGGUUCUGCUUCCUGGUAGAGAAGCAGUGUGCUGUGGCUAAGAACACCAUCUCCUACCAUGCCAAGGGGAAAGAGAUCUUGACACAGAAGCUCCCGAUCUGGCAGCAGUCUUGCUCGGACCCCAACAAGAUCCCAGACCGGGCUAUCCAGCUGAUGCAGCAGAUGGCCGCCAGCAGCAAUGGCACGAUCAUCCCCAGCUCCCUGUCUACAUCCAAAUCGAACCUAAUCAUCUCGGACCCUAUCCCCGGGGCCAAACCGCUCCCUGUCCCACCAGAGCUGGCGCCCUUCGUAGGGCGCAUGUCAGCACAAGAGACCAUUCCCGUGAUGAAUGGUGUCUCGGGCCCGGAGGUCGAAGACUACAGCCGCUGGUCUGAGAUGAAGCCAGCCCAGCCAAAAUCCCUAUCUCCUCCCCAGCAUCAGAAGCAACUGAGUGACUCGUACUCCAACACACUUCCUGUGCGCAAGAGCGUCGCACCAAAAAGCAGUUACGCAACCACUGAAAACAAGACCUUGCCACGCUCCAGUUCCAUGGCUGCCGGGCUUGAGAGGAACGGCAGGACUAGAGUACAGGCCAUUUUCUCUCAUGCUGCUGGUGAUAACACCACCCUCCUGAGCUUCAAGGAAGGAGACCUCAUCAUGCUCCUGGUGCCGGAGGCCCGAGAUGGAUGGCACUACGGGGAGAGUGAGAAAACAAAAAUGAGAGGCUGGUUCCCUUUCUCCUACACGCGGGUUCUUGACAGCGAUGGAAGCGACAGGUUGCAUACAAGCUUGCAACAAGGGAAAAGCAGCAGCACAGGCAACCUGCUGGAUAAGGACGACAUCGCCAUCCCGCCACCAGACUACGGCGUGUCCUCAUCACGGGUCUUCCCACCACAACCUGUCAGCACUUUCAAACAGAGACCAUACAGCGUGGCAGUGCCUGCCUUCUCCCAGGGCCUUGAGGACUAUGGGACGAGAGCUGGAAGCAGCGCCGAUGUGGAAGUGGCCAGGUUUUGAUGUCCCUGACUAGUUACCUGACUGUCAGACAAGAAGGGAUCUCUGGUCAAGACCCUCAGCAGCGUAUACGGAAAUCCUUUUGCCAACAUCCAGCUGAAACCAACAGUGACCAACGACAGGUCAGCUCCCUUCAUCAGCUGAUCCCUGGGAUUGCAGGAGCCAGCAAGCACCUCCUGCCUGCAUUGCUGUAUCUGACCCACUGUAGCCUCCUUGUCCGCAAGUCUGUCUCUCCAGAACUUUGUUUAGGCUGCGUUUGUUUAAACCUGCUACUGCUGCUUGGAAGCCAAGGGCUAAAGCUGGUGUUUUGCUGGUCUCUCCUGUAAAGCCCGUGUAGUCGGCACAGUGGCAGAGGGUGAGCGGGUUAAACUCUGUUACCCUUCGUUCACUCUGGUCAUGGCAGGUGUGGAGGUAAAGCAGCACUCACGGCCCUGGGUUCCCAGCCUGUCCCCUCCAGCCCUGUUCAGCUCUCCCAGCGCAGAAAGGUCAGCGUUAGUGGGGAACAUGCUGACCCCACAGCCUGCUGCUGCUCUAAGAGUGGGAAAGCAGCAGCACUCAGUAUAGCCCCAGCCUCUCGCUCCUGUCUCCUGCACAGACCAAGAUACAGGCCGGGCAGCUGUAACCCUCACCCCAGCCCUCUAAAAGGAUGGCAGCAGGGCACCUGGGACCAAGGCUGCCGGCCCGGGCCCACAGACUGGUGUGGAUGGGGCGGGUCAGGCCUACCCAGCUUGUGCUAGCAGGAGCCCUGUUAACACCCGUCUGCGGAGCUGGGCUGACAGGCUCAGGCCUCCAUGCAGUGUAGACACAGCCAAGGCUUGCAGACCCCACUCUGCUGUUUAGAGCUGCCGAGGGAAGUGAGGGGCUAAGCCUUGGUCCCUUCCCUUUUGGCCUGAAGCAAUUCUUGGCCUGUGGAACAGCAGAGCUGUGCAAAGCAUUUGUCCUCCUUCAGACUGCUGCUCAGGGCUGGCUAGCACGAGCGUAAGGGCCGGCUGCUCCCAGGCAGGCCUGCUGACCGUCAGUUCAACAGUUGCUAAUGUUUUUACACCCAACCCUCAUGGUGCAGCAUCUAGAUUUUAUUUAGCUCGGUGAGGUAUUAUUCAAGCUUGAACAAUGGGCUGUUAGAUGCAACACCCCCUGCGCGGAGGCAACCGGUACUACUCACCCUCUUACCUGUAGUUGUCUGUUGUGAAACUACAGGGAAGAGGAAACAGAGGUGGAGGAGGGUGCACCAUGCCCCCCUACCGCUGUCCUAACCACCUGUCACGUGCCGGAGACCUGCAAGACCCAAGCUGCAGGCAGCUUUCUGUGCUGAAGCGGGGAGGGUCUGUGACUUGAAAGGUUCUGGGCUGGAACCAUUCCAAGUCCCCGAGCCCCCUCCCAUGCUCAUAGCCACUUCCCCGUGUGUCACUCGGCUCUGCCUUGCAGGGCCCUGUGAGAUGAACCCUUGCAGCUCCGUAAGCGACUGGCUGGGAACUCGAGACCAGGCCCUGGAAGCUCUGGUCAGCAGCUGCCCCCACCCCAGGCUGCUGGUGCGAGUGCUCAGCGUACGUUUUGGAAGAGCCCGGCUCAGGCUCUUUAGUGAGAAACCUCUGCCUUAGCUGAGCUCUCCCCCUCCCCCCUUGCUUGUUACUAAGAUCUCUGCUGCUCUGGUACCCACUCUCGGCAUGAGGCCGGCCAGCUCCACCCCACCCAGUGCCUGCACUGAGGCUUCUGGUCUCAGGCCUUGUGUCCUUACUAAAGCAUGAGGAACGAGAGAGGGGAAAACAAGCUCCGCAACCUGUGGGAACAGGCCCUGCAGCGGAGCUGGGUCCUUUGCUGCCUUGCUCCAGCGGGGCUAGAUCAGAAUCGGGGCCAGAAGCCCAGGCGGUGCCCAUGGAAGGGGUGGCCGCCUUCAUGGUUUGUCUGCACUUUUUUUUAGGGCGAGAUGGCAGAGCUCGUGCUGCCUGUGCGUUACUGCGCUCUAGGCUUAGCCCCUAUAAGCUUAUGCCAAGUAGCAAACGAAAGCAAAUGCAGCGUCCAGUGUUUGUAUUUUUAUAUAAAGGAAAGUAUAUUUGACCCCUAUAAUCAAUGGCUGCUCUGUGCUGUCAUGGCACCCCCACCCCCCGCAGGGGGAGCACCUGAGCCCCGCAGUGGGCACCAAGCUGCAGGUACCUCGUGGGCUGCCUUGCAUCCAGCUUCACCCACAGCCCUGCACUGCCCCAGCGGGAGGGCCCUGCCCCAUGGGGUUAAAUCUGUCCAACUGUGUUGUCUCAAACUCUCUAAUCUGCUCUUUGUGCCUCUGUGCACUGCGACUUCCCCUGCUUUUCAGUAGAGUCAGUGAGGGGACGUGAGGCCGUAACUCUGGCGCUCAGAGGUAUGAAAACGCUCUGGUGCCCGAGGGCUGCCGUUAACCCGGCCUAACCCCUCUGGGAGGUGGUGCCAGGGAGCAGCCUCAGCAAAGCGCUGCAGCAGUUUGAGUGUAGACAAGCCCUGAGACUGCGCUGCUCUGAACUAGGCCCCCGGGCAGGGCCGAGCGCUAACGAAACACCCUGGAGACUACAAGGGUCAGCACAAGUGAACGGCCUCUGUCGGCUGUACUAGUUCUCUCUGGCCUGGUCCCUGCACUCAGUCCUUGCUCACAUGGGCAUUUUCCUGCUCCAUGAGUGAAGUUCUGCUGGGCUGCAGCCCUGCUGAUGCAGUAACUGGUUCAGGUGGAGCCAGGGCCAGCUAAAGCUAUAAGGAAUAUUGGCCCAGGUUUAGGGUUGUGACUGCUACAGUCCUAGCUUGAGCCCAGCGACUGACCUUAAAGACGUUUUCUUGUCUGUGAGCCCCAAAAAUGUAAACGAGUGGUGCUGCUGCUUGCCUGAGUGUGCAGCCAGCCUGAAACAAUAGCUGCCAGACCUGUGACCUGCCCACUCCACCUUAACUCUGCCACCCCCUGGGGACAGCCAAAGAGGCUCCAGCUGUGGUGUGCCUGAGGCCCCAUAUUGCCUUAAUUCUGCCCUGUGUGGACCAAAGACUCAGAACAGCUGCGCAAAUGGGCCCUGAGUGAACUCCGCCCUGGCCUCCCAUGAAUCAUGGCACCAAAGAGAGGCCAAGGAGCUUGGCGAGGCUGCAGGGCUCCUUGGGGACCAGCUCCAGCCUAACGUCUCUGUGAGCAGGUCUCUUGUCCUGGAGCUUUCCGGACGGUGCCCCCAUCACGCUGUGCCUUCCUGUGGUGUGAGCGAGGGGCUUUGUGCACAAUGUCAGCCACAGGCGCGGGGAGGGAGGGAGCCUAGCAGAACAGUGAUGUUGUUACUACAGCUACGGCCUUGGGUGGGAGGCUAGGGAGGGAGCAGACCUGGUCACUGCUCCCCUCCCCAUGGAUCCCGUGGAGGCCUGAGGGCUGCUCCCCAUGGUUGUACAUCACUGCACGGCUUGGCCUACUCCGAGCACUUGUUCAAACCCUCCCAGAAAGGCUGCUCGCCUCGAGGAGCCUGCUUAGCCAGAGGGCUUUCAACGUGGGCAGCCAAGCUUAGCUUCCCAACCAGCACGGCCCGGCAGAGGUGCUGUGCUGCCGCUCUGGCUGCUUCCCUGCGCUUUCUAGCGGCUGCACCAUGUACCCUGAAAUUACUAUUUUUGGAACAGUAAUUUAUGAGCAAUAAAACCCACAAAUCCUUGGCCUGAG